AUCAAAAUUGAAACUUAGGCAAGAACUUAGAAAUCCAUCCCUGCUUUUACAGAGGAGGUUACGGCUGCUGGAGAGCAACAUAGCUCCGCACAGAACUGUGCCGGGCUCCGGUGGGGCCGGGGCAGGCUUCGCGCCCUAGGGCCCCUGGCUCUGCGCGCAGACAAUGUCUGUGCUCUGGCAGGAAGCUUCACACAGCCAGGCAGGCCUGCGGGGCAGGGGGCAGUCACGCCAGGUGCCGUCUGCCAGAAUCAUAGAGAUGGACAGCAGGUGGAUGCAGGAGAAAGUUGGAGAGAAGAGCACUGCGUUAAGGAGCUGGUGGGAGGUGGGAGGUUAUGCAGCCUCCCCAAGAAGUUUUUGCCCUUAAAUAAUUUGGAGGUGCUUACGGACAAGACGCUGGUUAUUGGUCCCAGGUGAACAGAGAACAGUUGAUGUGGGCCCUGAGAAGAGCUGGAGUGUCACAGAAUUUCACUGAAGUAUUUAAAACUUUUUCUGAAUUAUGUGAAACAUACCAGUAAUCUGUUGCAAAAAAAAUGUAAUCCAUCAGUUCACAGAUCAAUUACGUUCUCUUUGAAAACAAAUGAUCAGACACAAUGUGACUUAAAGAGGAUGUGUUACCUUCCCAUUGGUGUCCUCUGUGAGUCUCUGUUACUGCUCCUUGCUGUGUUACUUGCUUUGUGAUAUCGUGGAAUGCCUAUCUGCCUGACUUCCUCUGGGAUGCUGUCCAGCCUGCAGGGAUGGGAUCAUCGCCUCGGCUGCCCUCCCCCCACCCUCUCCUCUUCCCUCUGUCCUCCCCCUUUCACACUUAGCUUCACUUGAUAUUCCUCUAAAAUUCUUCCACUCCUGAGGCAUUUGAUCAAGUGUUGAUGAUCUUAAGCAUUCAGCAAGUUAACAAAACCGCGGAAGAGAAUUACUUGCAUGUUACAAAAAAAGUCUUUUUAGAAAAACGUGCAUUAGUUCUUGUUGAUAAUUUCCAACUGUGCUGUUAACAGUGUGUGAUAUUCACUUUUAAAAUAUUUUAUUGUAUCUACUACUUAAUGUGCAAAUCAAUUUGUUGGCCUGUAUCAAAGCAGAGAUUCUUGUUACACUCGCAGUAUGGAAAGCCCUUUAAUUAUGAUUACAAGCCCUGCCAGGGGAAUCAAUCAUCCAGUUAAAUUCCAUAGAAAGAUCCAUAAAAAGCAUUUUAUCUAAAUACAUGAAUCAGAGACUAAAACUGACCUACACAUGAAAGUCUGUCGGUGCCCCUGGUAAUGUCACCUGGCGUUCUUCCCUCUGGACCCCAGUGGGUUUGGACAGGUAAUGGCAUGCCAAAGCUCUCCAGGUUAGGAGGAUUUGCAAGAUAAGGCUUAGCUCUGCAGGGACUAAAAAAAGCUUCCCACAUCUUCCCCUCCUUUUCUCAGGGAGUCUCCAUACCCCCAACCAUAACCACUCGGUAAGUAUUUUUUUCUCUCAUUUUGGCAGAUCUUCGUUCUUGAGUUGCGUAUUACCUUUGAAAUGAAUGAGUCAUCAUUUGGGUUUCUCCUUAUUUAAAGGGAUAUGAACCUUAAUAAUUUUGUCUUUAUUAAUUUUUAAUAGGGGUUUAAAUAAUGUUAUCUAUUUGGGAGAAUCAUAAUCACAUCUUUUAAAAGCCAUCGAAGAGUAAAGUAAAAAAAGAGAAAAUUAAAAUAACUCCAUUUCCCCAUCCCUCUUUUUCCUUUACUCUUGAAAGCAAGACUCUUGAAAGUGAUACAGUGACCACUGCCAAGGGUCACCCCAGCACAAUGGUCCCAUGUUGUAGGGUCUGAAACAUACAUUUUGGGGGACCUUCUUUAAAAAUUAAAAAAUAAGUAGAAAAUUAAUAAUAAAGUAAUGUUUUUAAUCAGGAGAAAACAAAUGAAAUUGCAAUUUUUAUAAAAGCAUUCAAAUACAACAAAUGUUAUAAAAUUCAGAAAAUUAACAUAAUUGUCUUUUUAAAAAAUAUUUUAUUUAUUUAUUAGAGAGAGAGAGAGAGAACACACGUGCAUGAGUAAGGGGAGAGGCAGAGGGGGAGAGAGAGAGAGAGAGAGAGAGAGAAAAUCCCAAGCAGAUUCCAUGCUCAACAGGGAGCCUGACCUGAGGCUCCAUCUCAUGACCCUGAGAUCAUGACCUGAGCAGAAAUCAAGAGUCCGACACUCAACCGACUGAGCCACCCAGGCACCCCUAACAUAAUUGUCUUUUUAUUUAUUUAUUUAAAUUAAAUUAAUUGACAUAAUGUAUUAUUAGAUUCAGAGGUAGAGUUUAAUGAUUCAUCAGUUGCAUAUAACACCCAGCGCUAAUGAUAAUGCAUAUAACAUCACGUGCUCUCCUUCAUGCCCAUCACCCAGUUACCCCAUCCCCCCACCCACCUCCCCUCCAGUAACCCUCAGUUUGUUUCCUAUGAUUAAGAAUUUUUUAUGGUUUAUCUCCCUCUCUGAUUUCAUCUUGUUUUAUUUUUUCCUCCCUUCCCCUAUGAUCCUCUGUUUUGUGUCUUAAAUUCCACAUAUGAGUGAGAUCAUAUGAUAAUUGUCUUUCUCUGAUUGACUUAUUUUGCUUAGCAUAAUACCCUCUAGUUCUAUCCAUGUCAUUGCAAAUGGCAAGAUUUCUUUUUUGAUGGCUGAGUAGUAUUCCAUUGUGUGUGUGUGUGUAUCACAUUAUAUUUUAAUUAGCUGUCUAAUAUAACUCUGAAACCCUUAAAAAUUAUUGGUAGCAUACAUAAUUCGGGUGUAAAGAUUUGUUCUGCCAUUUUUAUAGAACAGACAGACAAAUUUAGUCUUUCCUCUAGAAUGGUUAGCAGACUAUUUUUUUAAUUAAUAGUUUAGAAAAAUAUCUUCCAGUUUUACAACUCAUUAUUGGCAAUGGUAUAUUCUGAAGACCUCUAUCAAGUUUCUUUCUAUGUAAACCCUAAGUUUGCAGGGCAUUUCAAGAUUUUUAAAUUGUACUCAUAUUUAAUGGAAUUGAUUGAUGAUACUCAUUAACCAGCUUUUCAAAAAUGUCCCAUUUCUAGUGGCAUAGUAUGUGUUUCAUGUUAACAUAAUCAAUGCCAGGAUUUUGUGUCAGAUAAGCAAGAAUUUUCAAACUUCUUGGCAAUGGGUCUAGAUGAUGCACAUCUCUUCAUUGUUAUUAUCAGAAAAUUCAAAAAGCCUUUUGUGGCUUCUGUUUGAAAUUUAUUUCUUAUCCUUAAUGAAUUACUGCUUUUGGUGUCAUCUGAAAAAAAGUUUAUUACAUUUUCUACUCAAUAUUGGAAUAAGGGUUUUAUUUUCAAUACACAUCUUUCUGUUUUGUUUCAUAUUCCAUUAUCUUUUGGACUAUGCUUUGUGUUUUACUUAAUAAUAUAUUUGAAAAUAAUUGAAACAUACCUAUUGUAUGUGUAUAAAUGAGGAACUUGUAAUUCCUUAUUUCUUAUUG